GCCUCGGUGGUAUAAUGGUAGAGCACGCGUCCCAGAUAGGAUGAAACACGGGUUUGAUUCCCGCUUGAGGUA